UGUCUUUAAUUAAAGAUUAAAGUAAUUCUAAGCCACAAAUAUGCGACAUGUGUGUGGCCCGCAGCAUAAAUAUCUUGUUAUGCUGCCACUCAUUGUGCUUGGAGCAGGGGUACUGCCCCCAAAACGGGUCCAGAGUGUGUUGCGUAGGCGGACCUGAAGUCCGUUUACUAUAAGAAAAUUGGUGCCCCCAAAUCGGUUUACUAUGUGAAAGAGGUUUACACUAGCAAAAACAGAGACUGAAAUUGGUUUACACUAAAGAAAAGAAGCUGCAAGUCGUGGUAUGCCAAGAAAAUGGAUUAUAACGCGGCCCAGCUAGAAGAAAAGUGCAAAAGAAAUGGUUUAAAAGUAAUGUAAAUUUACCUAAAAUCGGUUGUCUAUGAAAAAUACGCGCGUGAAAACGUUUAAGAGUGGGAAAAGUGGACUGGAAAUAGCUGCUAAAUGAGAUAAAAGGAACCCGAUAGUGUUUAAAUAUGGUCUCAAAAUCGUUUUAACAUAAAAAAAUGUUGUAAAUUAUGGAACAAUCUGAAAAACAUACACAUUUAAAGAAUAAAAGUGACAGAAACGAACCAAAAUUUGCCUUAAAUCAGUUUAAAAUAUACAAAAAUAUACAACAAGAAAUGUACUCAAAAUCUGUUGACUAUAACAAAAACGCAGCAAGAAUAUGUUGAGAAAGGAAACAAGGACCAGGAAAUCCGAAAACGAAAACCCAAUUAGUUGAGGGAUGACGACAUUGAUGGCUGAAAUUUGACAUCACACACACACAGAGAGAGAGAGAGAGAGCGAGAGAGAGGGAGAGCGCAGAAGGAAGGAAGGAAGGAAUGAAAGGGACAUCGUCGGAGGAGGAGACCAAUUGAUGAUUGCACUCGAAAAUGUAUUUAUAAGAAUUGGAAAAUAAUAUCAUACCCGCUCCUAGGGUUUCCCCAUAAUCAAAUCAAAGAAAUAUUGAAAACUUC
rnacentral:misc_RNA from 1 species